CAGGGUGGAUGUGUGUGCCCCGGUGGAAGUCCAGGCUCUUUUGGAGGAAGCAGCUACCAUGGUGGACAGGGUGCGCCGUAUUUUGGAAACAGAC